CAAGCUCAGAGUUGGAUCACGUGGCCCAAUUGAAGAAUUGGGCUGCUUGAUUCUUAAAGUGGGGUGGACCGCGUGAGGCUGGUUUCACAGAGCAACGAACAGCUCCCGCUCUGUGCAGUGGAAGGAUAACGAGCCGGUGCUCUCUAAGUCCAGUAACGCCUGAUGGGCUGCUCCAACUAAACCAUCACUUUU
rnacentral:SRP_RNA from 1 species